GCCUUCGUGGUGUAGUGGUAAGCACGCUAGGCGCGUAUUCGAGAGGUCCGUGGUUCGAGUCCCGGCAAGGGCA
rfam:Stegodyphus mimosarum contig114698, whole genome shotgun sequence.